CAUGGCUCAGGAUGAACGCUGGCGGCGUGCCUAAUACAUGCAAGUCGAACGCGAGCACUUGUGCUCGAGUGGCGAACGGGUGAGUAAUACAUAAGUAACCUGCCCUAGACAGGGGGAUAACUAUUGGAAACGAUAGCUAAGACCGCAUAGGUACGGACACUGCAUGGUGACCGUAUUAAAAGUGCCUCAAAGCACUGGUAGAGGAUGGACUUAUGGCGCAUUAGCUGGUUGGCGGGG
rnacentral:rRNA from 1 species